AUUGAACGCUGGCGGCAUGCCUUACACAUGCAAGUCGAACGGCAGCACGGGAGCAAUCCUGGUGGCGAGUGGCGAACGGGUGAGUAAUAUAUCGGAACGUGCCCAGUCGUGGGGAUAACGUAGCGAAAGCUACGCUAAUACCGCAUACGAUCUAUGGAUGAAAGCGGGGGAUCGCAAGACCUCGCGCGAUUGGAGCGGCCGAUAUCAGAUUAGGUAGUUGGUGAGGUAAAGGCUCACCAAGCCGACGAUCUGUAGCUGGUCUGAGAGGACGACCAGCCACACUGGGACUGAGACACGGCCCAGACUCCUACGGGAGGCAGCAGUGGUGAAUUUUUGGACAAUGGGCGCAAGCCUGAUCCAGCAAUGCCGCGUGCAGGAUGAAGGCCUUC
rnacentral:rRNA from 1 species